rnacentral:lncRNA from 1 species
GCUAAAACUUUUCUUUUCUGCCUACACCCUUUUCGUUCAUAUAUAUAUUCUUUUCCUUCUUUCCCUUCUUUAAUAAAAUAAAGCCAUGCUUCGUUUUAAGUAUUGUGACUCCCGAUCACCGCUACACUUUCCGAUUGAUCUGAGCCCCAUAACGCAUGUCAGGGCUCUGCCCGACUAAGUUCGUUUGGGUUCUGUCUCGGGACAUCCAGACAAGGUUGAUCUAGGGGUACUAUACUUAACACGAGUGCAUUAUAUAUUUUUAAUAGCCCAAAAGUAUACCCAAAAUUUAUACCAGGAGUCUUUCUAGUUGAACCCUAAAGUUACACAAGGGGUCCAUUCUCUUUUCUCACCGUUUUAUUUCCUUUUUGAGAUUUACCCAAAACUAUUAUUUAUUUUGUAAACAAAUCUCGUCAAAAGUCAUAUCUAUUAUUUUAUUUACCCAAUAGAAAACCCUAGUUGAGACACCCAAGUAAUUCUACACAACUCCUAAAAUUUCCAGAACAAACAGAAUCAGGAUCAGGGCCCCUAAAACUCAGGGGGGGGGGGGUAUUCCCCACUUGACGAUUAUCCUUAUAACUUGCUGUCUAAAUUGAAAUUAUUCGUUCCGUCGACUCAGCCAGCCUACUCCCACACGCGGCAAACCUAUGGUCAUUACGUGUCCCUUACGGACCGUAUGGGAUAAGUCUUACGGUCCGUAAGCCUGUCAAAUUUCGUGUAUAAAUAGCAGGCAUCGACACUUGCAGUCUGCUGUUCAUUCGACGAUUAAAUUCCGAUUAUACACCGAGUUAUCGUCCAAAUACUCUAAAAACACACACGCGAAUCACUAAUUAGUAUAGUAGGGUGCUGCUAUGAUACAGGGUAUUAACUCGAUCGCUAUUACGAUUCAUUUUCCGACCGAUCAAUAUAUCCAAUGGAUGUUUAAGUGCCACCCACAUUAGGGUUAUACUUUGUCGUUCGUCGUUAAAUCGAUGGAUGUUUAAGUAUCGCACUUUGUCGUUCAUUGUGAGAAUUUGAUCUUGUGAGUUAUCGUAAUUGUUGUAUUAAGUUACCUACCUAGUUCGUGUGCACUAGGUUACAAGGCUAAAUCAAUAGGCUAAGCUCUGCCUGUAUAAAUCUGCAAUAUAUCAAAGCUUAUCUGUAGACUAAACUUUGGCCGUAUGAGUAUGAAUCUGCAUGAUUAUAAUGUAAUUACAGUAGAUUGGAGUAAGAAUUGGAUCCGGCACUGAAGGACUUCAAGAAGUGGCUUAUUCUAUUAAUUAAAUCAAAUUAAGAAAUAUUGUUUUUAUUAAAAGCUACCUUUGUAAAACAUGGAAUUUAUUCCAUCUAUUUAAAUAAAAUCCGGUGUUUCUAAACUCUGAUAUUUUCCCUAACUCACGGUCCUGAUGAAAUUUCCGCUGCAAUGUUUUUCAAAAUAAUCACCGGUACCACUGGACUGCUCGCGGCACCCGAUUCCUGCCAGGAUGGGGUCGGGGGACGUGACACGAAUGUUUUUAAAAUGGUUGAAAUUGAUUUUUCAGAAGUGAAAAGUAUAAAACAAACCAAAAGGCAAAUGAAUUUUGAAAAAGAUAAAGCUUACUACAAGAAGCCUGUUGUUCCACCGCAUUUUUAUAAUAACAGUCGAAACAAUUGGUCGGGUGGUUAUCAAGGUGGUAAGAGUUAUCGAAAGAGAAAUGGUCAAAACAAGAAGUUCACUGAGAAGAAAGUGUUUGUGAACAUUUCAAGUUCACUUUCUGAUGAAGAGAAAAAGAUUUUUUCAAAAUCAAAUGAAGAGUUCUUAGAGAAGAGAGCUUCACAGUCUCAGUCUGAAGGCACCAGACGAGUUGUUGACACUCGAACAUGCUUCAGAUGUAAUCAAGUUGGACAUAUUGCACGAAAGUGUACCAACUUGAAGCCUAAGACUGAAGCUGUGAAGAUUCAGAAAAAGAAAGUUGAUGCAAAGGGAAAAGCUCCAUUGGUUGUUGAGAAAAAGAAUUUGAAAAAUGACAACACCAAAGUCAAAACUGAACCUGUUAAGAAUGUGGUAACUAAAAAUGACAAGUUUUAUAAACGGGUUGCAUCAUCUCAACAAACAUGGAAGCCGAAAGUUGUU